UAUAGAAUUUUAUAUUGCUACAUUUUAAUACUUAAUAUAAAAUAUGUAGUAAUAUUUGGUUGGGAGGACUAUUAAAUUUGAUUAACUUUAAUUUUUGAUUACUUUGAUUUAAGAAAGUACAAUGAUCUUUAAAUUAAAAUAUCUAGAUUAAAUUACCUUAGGGAUAACAGCGUAAUAUUUUUUUAUAGAUCGUAUAGAAAAAAGUGAUUGCGACCUCGAUGUUGAAUUAAGAUAAAUUUUAAACGCAGGAGUUUAAUGAUUAAGUCUGU
rnacentral:rRNA from 1 species